rnacentral:lncRNA from 1 species
CUUUUCUUCUUCUUCUUCCCGGGCUUUUCAUUGGGCCGAAACAGGGGACCUAGAGGUCCCCGUGCCUUGACCGGCCAAUCACGACCAUAUCAUGGCCGGUGGUGGCCGGCGGCAACGGCUGACUCUCCCGGGUUCGGAGAGACCAGAGCCGGCGGUCGGCGUGACCGUCGGCGUCGGAAAAUCAAAGGAAAGAGGCGGCGAACAGGGGGUUUCCUUCUCCAACUAAAUCCGGCGACACCCGUCGCCGGCCAUCGUGCUCACAGGCACGGGAAAGAAGGGAGAGAAGAGAGGGAGAGGAGGGAGACCUUACCACAACCUCCGGUGACCCCCACCGACGAGAAAUCGCGGCGAACACGGGUCGAGGAGUCGCGGCUUCAAACGGAAAAAUCGGAGAAAAAUCUCUGGCAAUCGGCGGCGACUGAAGGGUCUACCCAUAGAGGAGAGAGGGGGGUUUCUUAUAGGGUUCGUCCUAGGGUCUUUUAAUGGCCCUAGGACUCCGAUUUUUGAUCGGAGAAGAGGAAGACUCCGAUCGGGAGUCUUCCUGCUCUGUUUAUCUCUUUUUUUUUUUUUUCAAACCGGGCUAGUGGGUCGGGCCUUCACAUUCUACCCCCCUAAAAAAAAUUUCGUCCUCGAAAUUUAACAUACCUUCAUUUUCAAAUAAGUGUGGAUAUCUCGUCUUCAUAUCAUCUUCAAGCU